UUUCCGUAGGUGAACCUGCGGAAGGAUCAUUAAAAAAUGAGACCUCUGAUUUAGGGUCUAUUAAUAAUCCUACCCUUUGUGAAUUUGUUUGUUUUUAAUUUGUGUCUUUCCCUGUUUUUUGAUGGAGCUUGUUAAAAAGCAAAAUCAAAUGCAGGGGAAUGGCAAAACCUUUUUUAAAAUUAAACAUUUUGUAUUCAUUUGUCUAAAAAUUAUUUUUAUAAUAUAAAAACAACUUUUGACAAUGGAUCUCUUGGUUCUCGCAACGAUGAAGAACGCAGCAAAAUGCGAUAAGUAAUGUGAAUUGCAGAAUACGUGAAUCAUCGAAUCUUCGAACGCAUAUUGCACUUUUUUGGUUUACCAAAAAAGUAUGUCUGUUUGAGUAUCAGUACAAUAUACUCAUAAAAACUUUUGUUUUUAUGGUUAUGAGUGUUUUACAACGAUAAACAAGUUGUUUCACUUUAAAUUCUUUGUCUUUUAAAAAAUCAUUUAAAAACUGAUUUUUUUUUAAAAUUGGAUAAAAUUUUCCCGUAAAAAGGAAUAACCUAAACAAUUUUAAUAAAUGAAUUAGUUUGAUUUUUUAAAAAAAGACCAAAAGGAAAAAAAAGUAAAAAUUAACUUGAUCUCAAAUCAGAUAAGAGUACCCGCUGAACUUAAGCAUAUCAAUAAGCGGAGGAAAAGAAACUAACUAGGAUUCCCUCAGUAACGGCGAGUGAAGCGGGAAGAGCUCAAAUUUGAAAUCUUCAAGGUUCUACCUUGACGAAUUGUAGUUUAAAGAAGUGUUUUCUGUUGGAGUUUUGGUAAAAGUUCUUUGGAAUAGGACAUCAUAGAGGGUGAGAAUCCCGUAUUUGACCAUUAUUUCCAACUUUGUGAUACACUUUCAAAGAGUCGGAUUGUUUGGGAAUGCAGUCCAAAAUGGGUGGUAAAUUUCAUCUAAAGCUAAAUACUGGCGAGAGACCGAUAGCGAACAAGUACCGUGAGGGAAAGAUGAAAAGAACUUUGAAAAGAGAGUUAAACAGUACGUGAAAUUGUCAAAAGGGAAGCGUUUGACACCAGUGUUGUUUUCUCGAAAAUCAAUUAAAAAUGGUUGGAUGUUGUGUUGUAUUGACUUUAUCAGCUUUCUGCACUUUUUUUCCUAUCUUUUUUAAUGCACUUUUCGUCUAACAAGUCACAUCAAUUUCUUUUGUUGUAAAAGAGUCAUUGGAAGGUGGCUUUCUUUUCGGAGAAAGUGUUUAUAGCCUUUGGCUUCUGCAAUCGGAGAGAUUGAGGUCUGCAGCGUAGAUCCUUCGGGGUUAGAUGUAUUUGUGCUAAGUUAUAGCCUUUCAUAGACAACUUGUUGACUAUGAUCAGUCAUGUAGCUUACUCGCUUAUGCAUUU
rnacentral:misc_RNA from 1 species